rnacentral:rRNA from 1 species
AGUACAGACGUAGUUUGAUCCUGGCUCAGAACGAACGCUGGCGGCAUGCCUAACACAUGCAAGUCGAACGAACCCGUUCGGGGUUAGUGGCGCACGGGUGCGUAACGCGUGGGAACCUGCCUUUAGGUUCGGAAUAACAGUUAGAAAUGACUGCUAAUACCGGAUGAUGUCUUCGGACCAAAGAUUUAUCGCCUUUAGAUGGGCCCGCGUUGGAUUAGCUGGUUGGUGGGGUAAAGGCCUACCAAGGCGACGAUCCAUAGCUGGUCUGAGAGGAUGAUCAGCCACACUGGGACUGAGACACGGCCCAGACUCCUACGGGAGGCAGCAGUGGGGAAUAUUGGACAAUGGGCGAAAGCCUGAUCCAGCAAUGCCGCGUGAGUGAUGAAGGCCUUAGGGUUGUAAAGCUCUUUUACCAGGGAUGAUAAUGACAGUACCUGGAGAAUAAGCUCCGGCUAACUCCGUG